CCUACGGGAGGCAGCAGUGGGGAAUUUUGGACAAUGGGCGCAAGCCUGAUCCAGCAAUGCCGCGUGCAGGAUGAAGGCCUUCGGGUUGUAAACUGCUUUUGUACGGAACGAAACGGCGAGCUCUAAUACAGUUUGCUAAUGACGGUACCGUAAGAAUAAGCACCGGCUAACUACGUGCCAGCAGCCGCGGUAAUACGUAGGGUGCGAGCGUUAAUCGGAAUUACUGGGCGUAAAGCGUGCGCAGGCGGUGAUGUAAGACAGAUGUGAAAUCCCCGGGCUCAACCUGGGACCUGCAUUUGUGACUGCAUCGCUAGAGUACGGCAGAGGGGGAUGGAAUUCCGCGUGUAGCAGUGAAAUGCGUAGAUAUGCGGAGGAACACCGAUGGCGAAGGCAAUCCCCUGGGCCUGUACUGACGCUCAUGCACGAAAGCGUGGGGAGCAAACAGGAUUAGAUACCCUGGUAGUCCACGCCCUAAACGAUGUCAACUGGUUGUUGGGUCUUCACUGACUCAGUAACGAAGGUACGUGUGAAGUGA
rnacentral:rRNA from 1 species